GAUAGAUGUGAGAAGGAAUUUAUAUACACAAAGAGCUGUUUGUAUGUGGCUGCUAUGAAAGAGAACUGUGUUUGCGUGUGCUCAGGGGUGUGUUCAUUGCACCGAUUCUGUAGAAAAACCGGGAUAAACAUACCUGAAUUUGUCCAAUAGAAACUCUCGUUUGCAACUGUUGGGACUAAUGAUUACACUCUAGAUCAGCUAGAUGCAGGAAAGAGUGUGCAAGGCGGUAUUGAAUAUGUUUAGUCUGUCACCUUUAUUCCUCAAUUCUCUCAACCUGUGUGCACCUGCGUUGUAAACUGUCCUUCAUAGGCUAGGUUAUAAACUGUCAUUCAUAGGCUAGGUUAUAAACUGUCCUUCAUAGGCUAGGUUAUAAACUGUCCUUCAUAGGCUAGGUUAUAAACUGUCAUUCAUAGGCUAGGUUAUAAACUGUCCUUCAUAGGCUAGGUUAUAAACUGUCAUUCAUAGGCUAGGUUAUAAACUGUCAUUCAUAGGCUAGGUUAUAAACUGUCAUUCAUAGGCUAGGUUAUAAACUGUCCUUCAUAGGCUAGGUUAUAAACUGUCCUUCAUAGGCUAGGUUAUAAACUGUCCUUCAUAGGCUAGGUUAUAAACUGUCCUUCAUAGGCUAGGUUAUAAACUGUCCUUCAUAGGCUAGGUUAUAAACUGUCCUUCAUAGGCUAGGUUAUAAACUGUCAUUCAUAGGCUAGGUUAUAAACUGUCAUUCAUAGGCUAGGUUAUAAACUGUCAUUCAUAGGCUAGGUUAUAAACUGUCAUUCAUAGGCUAGGUUAUAAACUGUCAUUCAUAGGCUAGGUUAUAAACUGUCAUUCAUAGGCUAGGUUAUAAACUGUCAUUCAUAGGCUAGGUUAUAAACUGUCCUUCAUAGGCUAGGUUAUAAACUGUCCUUCAUAGGCUAGGUUAUAAACUGUCCUUCAUAGGCUAGGUUAUAAACUGUCCUUCAUAGGCUAGGUUAUAAACUGUCCUUCAUAGGCUAGGUUAUAAACUGUCCUUCAUAGGCUAGGUUAUAAACUGUCCUUCAUAGGCUAGGUUAUAAACUGUCCUUCAUAGGCUAGGUUAUAAACUGUCCUUCAUAGGCUAGGUUAUAAACUGUCAUUCAUAGGCUAGGUUAUAAACUGUCAUUCAUAGGCUAGGUUAUAAACUGUCAUUCAUAGGCUAGGUUAUAAACUGUCAUUCAUAGGCUAGGUUAUAAACUGUCCUUCAUAGGCUAGGUUAUAAACUGUCCUUCAUAGGCUAGGUUAUAAACUGUCAUUCAGAGGCUAGGUUAUAAACUGUCAUUCAGAGGCUAGGUUAUAAACUGUCCUUCAGAGGCUAGGUUAUAAACUGUCCUUCAUAGGCUAGGUUAUAAACUGUCCUUCAUAGGCUAGGUUAUAAACUGUCCUUCAUAGGCUAGGUUAUAAACUGUCCUUCAUAGGCUAGGUUAUAAACUGUCCUUCAUAGGCUAGGUUAUAAACUGUCCUUCAUAGGCUAGGUUAUAAACUGUCCUUCAUAGGCUAGGUUAUAAACUGUCAUUCAUAGGCUAGGUUAUAAACUGUCAUUCAGAGGCUAGGUUAUAAACUGUCAUUCAGA